UGAAUAUGAAAAUCGAAGGAGGCCAAGCUUCUAUAACAUUUCUUAAUAUGAUUAACAGAAAUUAAAUAUAAAUGAUAAGCUUACAUCGUUGAUAUAUUUGCUUCGUUCUUGUAAGAGCAAAGAAGGAAAAGAGGAAACGUUAUUGAUAACUAUGAGAUCUAUCUUUAUUGAUUUAACAAUGAUUAUUACAAAAGGAUGUACCAAAAUAUGGACUGUUGGUUUGUUGUUGAGGAUCUCCUCUUGUUCUCAUCUUUGCUAUAUUGCUCAUUUCUUUUCUUUGAUGGGAGCUCCCCUCUCUCUCGCCUUCCCCCUCUUUGUAGUUAC
rnacentral:lncRNA from 1 species